GUUUCUAUGUGCUGUACAUAAAACCCAGCCUCAUCCAUCAAAGGAAAUUUGAUGCCAGCGGGAAGGAGAUUGAGCCAAACUUCAGUGACACCAAAAAGAUCAACACUGGCUUCCUCUUGUCCUCCUACAUGUUAAACCUCUACGGAUGUAAUGCGGCUUUCGGCCACUGUCGCUUUGUGGCGCUGUGACCGCCUCAGCUCCGGCUUGCUUCGUCAAGUUUUCAUUCGGUGACUGGAGAAGAACAGAGAUGUCGUCAACAGCAACAACUUCGUACUGUUAGUUUUGUCCAACAAAGGCCAGCAGGCAAAAAUCUAUCAGUUUUUUUCCUGGGAGGAUCAAAAUUGUUUUCCACAAGGGACCUCUGGGGUACCUUCUGCAGCAUCCAACUGAUGCAGCUAAGCUGCUCAUGGACAAUCCUUCUCUGCAGGACAGGUCUGCACCUCUGUGGGAGGACAUAGUCAAACAAAAUGCCCUGACUGUGGUCUGUCAGAGAGGAGGGGAUGCCUCAGACAGGACAGAGGUGCUGGGGGACUACAUUCUGCAGUUUGGUGAAUAUAAGGGAAAAUCCUUCCGGUGGCUUUUGGAAAACAAUGUAAGCUACACAAUCUACCUCAUCAAGCACACAGAGAAAGAAUAGGCUGCAGGAGUGUUAAAGACUGAGGGGCAGAGUAAGGCCAGUUUAUUGUCCUUUGUGGGUAAUGCCUGCAGCUUUGACGAAAUCCAAAGACUUCUAUCUUAUGAGUCAGAAAAGCCCGCUGCUCGAGCAGCCUCAGAGGAUGACCAGCUGGUUGGCUUUGGCAUUCUUACCGAGAGCACCUGGCGGGAGUUGUGGGAAAGCAAGGCUGAUGGCUAUGCAGCCUUUAUCCAGUUUUUCAGGGACUCAGAUGUUAAGACUGCAUUAAAUCAGAUAUAAGUAGUUGGACCUGUUCUUAUCAUCAGAAGUGUGGAUGAGGACAGAUCUCCAAUCUCUGGGACUGUGGCCUGGAUUCCACCAUAUGCUCAAGCCAGGAAAUGUGCUUUCAUUAUGGUGUCUCCCUCCACAGCCAGAACUCAGUGACACUGUAUCAGCGCUCCCAUUCCGUAUAAAGCCAGAUAUAGUCUCAGCUGGUGUAGGCAGGCCUCGAGUGAUAGUUGGCACCAGUGGGCAAUACUACAUCUUUGCUUCACGUCUUCGCUGCAGGAUGUGCAACAGGAUAUGGUUUGCUGACAGUACUCAGUGGUUGGAUAAACUGCCGAAGCGGUUCACAAACAUUCUGCCAGCAUUCCUAACCUACAAGAAGUCCAUUUACAAGUCUGUGCUUCAUGAGCUGAGGCACACUGGCAAGUCACCCUCAGACAUGGCAAACCAGGUGAAUGAGCUGAUUCACCUUAAAUUUGAACAAGCUCAUCUGGCAUACCUUUGCAGCAUACAGAAUGUCCGGGAUGAGGCUGGGGUUUACGGGCAGACAACUCUUAGUCACUUUGUGAGGAAGGAUGACACACCACAGUCACCACAGAGCCUAUCAAAACACAGAUGAGUGGUGUGGAGUCUCUGUCUCUGCUCACUAUCUGACUGAUUGCCUUAUUGAUAAGUGCCAGUGCCAGCUGACCGCUAUCACUAAACUCCUGCAGGGCACUUUUGGACAGGUCUUUCAGUCUGAAUACACCACAAUCACUGUCAGUCAUACAUAACUAAAUCAUACAUAUUCUAAUCAGUUUCCCCUGCUUGUGUUCAGGGAUUGCAGCGAUCUUCACCAUGGAGAACACCUCAACUGGGAUGCCUGGAGGACCACACAGUCUAUCACCUAUGAGGGCACUGAUGGGACUCUGGUGAACACCUGUGCAUCCUGUACACAGUACAACCCCAACAUUGUGGUCCAGAUAGAUUUGUUUCACUGUAUGAGAUGUUUCACACAGGAGUGCACUUCAGAGCAUCAUCCCCUCUACAGCACCUUUGUCAGCUUCUCUCCACUGCCUUUUCUGUCGUGGAUCAGGAAGACCCACUGAAGCUGAAAGAUGCUAAUCGGUUCUAUGGAAUUCAGCCACCAAACCCUACAAACCAGCACACCAGAAAGCACUGUAGGACCAGAAUUCCACUGCCAACAGAACUGGUUGAUAGAGCAUUUCCACCUGACCACAAACUCAUGCUCUAAAUGCUAAAGACGUGGCAGAUCCAGAAGGUGCACAUACUUGGUGGGCGGCUCAGUGACCCUGAGAUCAAAGAGGGAAUCCUGUACAAGUAUGGGGAAACUCUGCAGCUUAAUCAUGUCCCUGGUGAAGGUGUAUAAGUCCCAAUCUGGAUUCCAGUCAAGGGAACAUCACAACAGGAGGGGUAUCAUUUCCACCGGUCCCAUUGGAUUACUGGAACAACUCGUGUGUCCUGCGAAAUACCAGAGUGCCAUCCAGUUCAACUUGAUUGGAACAAACAUAGGGUGCAAAGGAAAGAUGAUUCUUCUGUUCUUCUGCCUCUCCCCUCUGGCCCAACACCAUCCACAAACCCAGCACCACCCACUGUUGUGACUGUGAGGUUUAAGUUCUCCCAACUUAAACCUGCUGCAAUCACUAAGCUACAGAUGUUGUCACAAGGAAGCAUGGAACCUCCAGAUAAAAUAGAAACCUCAAAAACUCCACCCCUGCUAUUGCAGUCCUCAUCAAGAUGUGCCCACACUGGACCAAUCAAGACUGGUGGACAAGUGUUCUUCUUGGACCACAAACGCUGGACAUCACCAAUGAAGGAGGCUAUCUAUGGCCUCCUAGUCAAGUAUCAUGGACAGAAAGACACGUUCAAGCUUGUAGAUCAAGACUACGUAGCUAUGGUCCAUCGGUCUGCCACAAAUCCAAACAGUCUUCUUCACCCCACAACCAAAUACCAUAUAACACAGUACAUAAAACACCAGGCUAAAGAGUUGAACGCAAGCUCAUCUCUGAACACCAGUCCAGAAAAACCUUUGGAGACACAAACAAAGUUUAACAGAGGGAGUGCUCAUGUCCCAGUUGUAGAACUGCCACCAGCCAUUGUGAAUCAAGCAGAUCCGGUCUCGCUGCCAGCAUCUGAAAAUCCACUAACACAGGAGAAUGUACAGAAAAUGGUAUAGGACAUAAAGCUGCAUCAGCAGGCACAACAGCAGCAGCAGCAACAAAAACCCAGACAGACGAAAAAAUUCCUCUCGUGCAGGCAGCCAAAAUCCCGCAACCAAAGUGACGGAUCAUCAGUUCAUCACUUUCAUCAACAAGGGCAAGUGUUUAAAGCCUAUUCUAAGGAGAGACUGACAAAUCCCAGAAUGGCUUUUGAGAAGUUUGCGCAGACUGACUUUUUUCAGCAUGAACUGCAAUUAAUAAAGCGCAGAGUGGAGGAAAACUCUGAGAAGACGAGGAAACUAUCGGAGCCUCAACCUCAGGGAAGAAUGUGCCAUUUCUGUUGCACAGAGCUGAAACAGGGCAGAACAACACAUUCACACAGGGUUCCCAGGAGUGGCUGGGAAAAACAUUUACUGCCCAAUCAAAGUCCUUGCUUUAUAAAAAGACAGAAGUAUGACCAAUGAAAUUACCUAAAGGGUUUUAAGCCCCGUCAUUCUAUGGCGUGGGAAAGGAGAGGUGGGCAGCAGAGAGAAAGAAAUUGUAAAUCUGAGGUUUUGUGGAUAGACUUACAUACAUUUCAUAUUUUAAUAAUGUGUUGUUCAUGUUGCAGCAUUCUGUUGCUCCAUCCAUUUGUUUCAAAUACUGUAAAACUUUUAACAAUUAAUAGCACAGUCCCAAACACAUUUUGACAAAUAAACGCAGGUCCCCAUUAAA